AGGCGCACACACACCCCUGCGAGUGAUCCAUAGAAACGCGUAAGCAGGCGCACACACACCCCUGCGAGUGAUCCAUAGAAACGCGUAAGCAGGCGCACACACACCCCUGCGAGUGAUCCAUAGAAACGCGUAAGCAGG